rnacentral:rRNA from 1 species
UACGGAGGGUGCAAGCGUUGUCCGGAUUUAUUGGGUUUAAAGGGUGCGUAGGCGGCUUUUUAAGUCAGUGGUGAAAGCCUCCAGCUUAACUGGAGAACUGCCAUUGAUACUGAGGAGCUUGAGUAUAGUUGAGGUAGGCGGAAUUGACAGUGUAGCGGUGAAAUGCAUAGAUAUUGUCAAGAACACCGAUUGCGAAGGCAGCUUACUAAGCUAUAACUGACGCUGAGGCACGAAAGUGUGGGUAUCAAACAGGAUUAGAUACCCUGGUAGUCCACACUGUAAACGAUGAUUACUCGCUGUUGGCGAUAUACAGUCAGCGGCCAAGCGAAAGCGUUAAGUAAUCCACCUGGGGAGUACGCCGGCAACGGUGAA